rnacentral:rRNA from 1 species
GACGAACGCUGGCGGCGUGCUUAACACAUGCAAGUCGAACGGAAAGGCCCUGCUUUUGUGGGGUGCUCGAGUGGCGAACGGGUGAGUAACACGUGAGUAACCUGCCCUUGACUUUGGGAUAACUUCAGGAAAAUGGGGAUAAUACCGGAUAGGAGCUCCUGCUGCAUGGUGGGGGUUGGAGAGUUUCGGCGGUUGGGGUUGGACUCGAGGCUUCUCGGCUUGUUGGUGGGGUAGUGGCUUAACAAGGCUUUGAAGGGUAGGCGGCCUGGGAGGGUGACCGGGCACAUUGGGACUGAGAUACGGACCAGUCUCCUACGGUAGGCAGCAGUGGGGAAUAUGGCACAAUGGGCGGAAGCCAGAUGCGGCAACGCCGCGUGCGGGAUAACGGCCUUCGGGUUAUAAACCGCUGUCGCCUGUGACGAAGCGUGAGUGACGGUAAUGGGUAAAGAAGCACCGGCUAACUACGUG